rnacentral:rRNA from 1 species
AUUGAACGCUGGCGGCAGGCCUAACACAUGCAAGUCGAGCGGAUGAAGGGAGCUUGCUCCUGGAUUCAGCGGCGGACGGGUGAGUAAUGCCUAGGAAUCUGCCUGGUAGUGGGGGAUAACGUCCGGAAACGGGCGCUAAUACCGCAUACGUCCUGAGGGAGAAAGUGGGGGAUCUUCGGACCUCACGCUAUCAGAUGAGCCUAGGUCGGAUUAGCUAGUUGGUGGGGUAAAGGCCUACCAAGGCGACGAUCCGUAACUGGUCUGAGAGGAUGAUCAGUCACACUGGAGCUGAGACACGGUCCAGACUCCUACGGGAGGCAGCAGUGGGGAAUAUUGGACAAUGGGCGCAAGCCUGAUCCAGCCAUGCCGCGUGUGUGAAGAAGGCCUUCGGAUUGUAAAGCACUUUAAGUGGGGAGGAAGGGCAGUAAGUUAAUACCUUGCUGUUUUGACGUUACCAACAGAAUAAGCACCGGCUAACUUCGUG